rnacentral:rRNA from 1 species
GACUCCUACGGGAGGCAGCAGUGAGGAAUAUUGCGCAAUGGGGCAACCCCUGACGCAGCGACGCCGCGUGGAUGAUGAAGGCUUUCGGUCGUAAAAUCCUGUCAGUUGGGUAAGAAAUUACAUAGUGUUAAUAUCAUUAUGUAUUGACGGUACCUUCAAACGGAACGCACCGGCUAACUCCGUGCCAGCAGCCGCGGUAAUACGGAGGGGUGCAAGCGUUGUUCGGAAUUACUGGGCGUAAAGCGCGCGUAGGCGGCUAUUUAAGUCAGAUGUGAAAGUCCAUGGCUCAACCAUGGAAGUGCAUUUGAAACUGGAUAGCUUGAGUAUCAGAGGGGAUAGUGGAAUUCCCGGUGUAGAGGUGAAAUUCGUAGAUAUCGGGAGGAAUACCGGUGGCGAAGGCGACUAUCUGGCUGAAUACUGACGCUGAGGUGCGAAAGCGUGGGGAGC